rnacentral:rRNA from 1 species
CGACCGCUGGCGGCGUGCUUCACACAUGCACGUCGCACGGAAAGGCCCUGCUUUUGUGGGGUGCUCGAGUGGCGAACGGGUGAGUAACACGUGAGUAACCUGCCCUUGACUUUGGGAUAACUUCAGGAAACUGGGGCUAAUACCGGAUAGGAGCUCCUGCUGCAUGGUGGGGGUUGGAAAGUUUCGGCGGUUGGGGAUGGACUCGCGGCUUAUCAGCUUGUUGGUGGGGUAGUGGCUUACCAAGGCUUUGACGGGUAGCCGGCCUGAGAGGGUGACCGGCCACAUUGGGACUGAGAUACGGCCCAGACUCCUACGGGAGGCAGCAGUGGGGAAUAUUGCACAAUGGGCGGAAGCCUGAUGCAGCAACGCCGCGUGCGGGAUGACGGCCUUCGGGUUGUAAACCGCUUUCGCCUGUGACGAAGCGUGAGUGACGGUAAUGGGUAAAGAAGCACCGGCUAACUACGUG